rnacentral:lncRNA from 1 species
GGUACGAGGAGCGACCGGUACGGAUUCUUACUCGUGAGACGAAAGAAUUGCGCAACCGGAUCAUACCGUAUGUGAAAGUACAGUGAAGUAAUCACGAGGAGCUUGAGGCGACGUAGGAGCCGGAGGCUGUGAUGCGGGAGUCCUACCCUUACUUGCUUGAGCCUCUGGAUUGAGGUAUGAGUUUCGGUGACGAAAUUUUUUGUAAUGGGGGAGGAUGUAGUGUCUCUAGUAUUUAGUUGUUUAUGUGAUUUCAGUAUCUGUGGCUUGUCGG